CCCCCCCCCAUUACCCCCCCCAAAAACCCGCCCCCUCUUCUCCCCCCCCCCCGCGGGUUUUGGGGGCCCGGUUUUUCUUUUAAAAUACCAAAGGGGGGCCCCCGACCCAGGGGUUUUUCCCCGGCCUGGGGAAAAAGGGGGGCCCAGGGGAGGGCCCCAACCCCCAAAUUUAAAUUGGGAGAUUUUAGGCUCCCCCUCCUUUUGGGCCCCCCCCCGGGCUUUUACCCCUUUUUAUGCCUUUCCGGGCUUGGGUUUUUUUGUGGUGGAAAUUUGGGGAGGGGGGAUAACCAAUUUUCCCCCCCAGGAAAACCAGCUUAAGGACCCAUGGAUUUCCGCCCCAAACUUAUUUUAGGGUGACCACUAAUAGGAAUACUCAAAGGCUAUGCCAUCCCAACGCCGUUGGGGAGCUUUUCCCCAUAUGGUUGGACCUGCAGGGCGCCCGCGAAAUUCACUUAGUGAUUCUUUGGUCAUUUAGAGGAAGUAAAAGUCGUAACAAGUUUUCCGUAGGUGAACCUGCGGAAGGAUCAUUAACGAAUCCAAAUCUUACUUGCCUUAGCGGUAACUUGAUGCUGUUCUUCGGGGUCGGCUUCGGUCGUUAAAUCGUCUGUGGGUACGGUGAACUUCGGUUUGCUAGGCGGGCCCCGAAUUAGUUUUUUACCCACACGUUCACUCAAUGCCUUAACGUUUCGAUUCCUCGGACGGACUCGAUCCGAACGAGAGUUGUCUAAAAGCGAACAACUUUAAACGGUGGAUCUCUUGGCUCGUGCAUCGAUGAAGAACGCAGCAAACUGCGAUAAGUAAUGUGAAUUGCAGAAUUUAGUGAAUCAUCGAAUCUUUGAACGCAAAUGGCGCUCUUGGGCAUUCCCAGGAGCACGCCUGUCUGAGCGUCGUUUCUCACAUCCCAACUCUCAGGAGCUGGGGCCAUGAGGUGUCCCUUUGCUGCGAAGCGAACGGUCCCUUGAAGUAUAGCGAUCCCGAGUUGUGCGGAAGCCUUUCUUGGCCCGUGCUUCUCGGUGUGGUAGAAAUAUCUCACCGAGGAUACGUGCUUGGAGAGUGUCGGAUGUCUUCUCAUAGGGACGACUGGAAAGGAGGAUGAAAGCUUUCGGGCAUUCGUUCGACCAAUCAAGACCUCAGAUCAGACGAGACUACCCGCUGAACUUAAGCAGAUCAAUAAGCGGAG
rnacentral:rRNA from 1 species